GUCAAAACGAAUGAACAAUAUUAUAUUGUUUACAAACUUCUUAAGUUGGUGCACAUUCUUCCUGUAGCCACUGCUAGUGUUGAGAGGGUAUUUUCCUCAAUGUAAUACAUGAAGAAUCCACUAAUAAACAAAACGGGUGAUGAAUAUUUAAACAAUUGCUUGGUUGAAUUAGUUGAGAGAUAA
rnacentral:rRNA from 1 species